AUGCAAUUGUCUUUCGUUAAUUCUGACAAUAUGAAGGUUAUCGACACCAUAAAGAGUGGAGGAUGUUCCGCAAGAGCGGCGGCAGCGGUUUUUGAUGACUGCUAUCAUUUGGCAUGCGAUUUUACUAUCUCUAGAUUCGAACGUUGGAGUAGAGAAGCAAAUAGGGUAGCUCAUGAACUGACUAGGUUGGCUAGAAUUUCAUCGAAUUUUGAUUGGUUUGAGGAACCUCUGAAUGAAAUAGUAACCCUACUCAUAGACGAUGUAUCUAUUAUAUCGAUAGAAUAA
rnacentral:rRNA from 1 species